AUGAACGCUGGCGGCGUGCCUAAUACAUGCAAGUCGAGCGAACGGACGCGAAGCUUGCUUUUCUGAUGUUAGCGGCGGCCGGGUGAGUAACCCGUGGAUAACCUACCUAUAAGACUGGGAUAACUUCGGGAAACCGGAGCUAAUACCGGAUAAUAUUUUGAACCGCAUGGUUCAAAAGUGAAAGUCGGUCUUGCUGUCACUUAUAGAUGGAUCCGCGCUGCAUUAGCUAGUUGGUAAGGUAACGGCUUACCAAGGCAACGAUGCAUAGCCGACCUGAGAGGGUGAUCGGCCACACUGGAACUGAGACACGGUCCAGACUCCUACGGGAGGCAGCAGUAGGGAAUCUGCCGCAAUGGGCGAAAGCCUGACGGAGCAACGCCGCGUGAGUGAUGAAGGUCUUCGGAUCGUAAAACUCUGUUAUUAGGGAAGAACAUAUGUGUAAGUAACUGUGCACAUCUUGACGGUACCUAAUCAGAAAGCCACGGCUAACUACGUG
rnacentral:rRNA from 1 species